rnacentral:rRNA from 1 species
AUGCAUUCAAGAUUCACGAAAACCAAUAUUGUGGUCCUCCCUAUGCAGCAGGCUUGUGCUCCAAAAUUCCCCAUCAAGCUGGCUCCUGCUCCCCCGAAUCCUACCCCCACCCAUCCAAAAGCUUCAAGAUCUCACAGAAAUCUCACAACUUCCGUUCGUCGGAGUAGAGCCUUCAAACAGCCCCGCCCACACAUCCACGCGGCGGCUGCUGCCAUAACUUCACCGGAGUCGCCUUCUCCUUCCGCGCCACGUCACCGGUGCCGGCCAGGCUCUGAAUCUUCUGCUGCUGCCGCCGAUACGAUGCUGGAGCUGGCAUCGACAUGCUUGUGA